rnacentral:rRNA from 1 species
UACAGAGGUCUCAAGCGUUGUUCGGAUUCAUUGGGCGUAAAGGGUGUGUAGGUGGCGCGCUAAGUCGGGUGUGAAAUUUCGGAGCUUAACUCCGAAACUGCAUUCGAUACUACCGUGCUUGAGGACUGGAGAGGAGACUGGAAUUUACGGUGUAGCGGUGAAAUGCGUAGAUAUCGUAAGGAAGACCAGUGGCGAAGGCGGGUCUCUGGACAGUUCCUGACGCUGAGGCACGAAGGCCAGGGGGAGCAAACGGG